CUUGCCACCGCCAUGUUAAGAAGUGCCUCUCGCCUCACACCAUGAUUCUGAGGACUCCCCAGCCACGUGGAACUGACAUGUGCCUUGGGAGUCCUGAACCACCAACAAGAAUUUGGCUACCCUGGAUCACCAUGCUGGUGAGACCACAUGGAACAAACAUACAGAGAUGCCCAAUGAGCUCCAGUUCUGCCAGUACCUAGUUGCUCAAGUCUUCCAAAAAAUUCACAACUACUUGGAUGGUGGAGAGAGAACAACAACAACAAAAAAAGAAAGUCUACAACUAUAUCAUUCCUAAAAAGAAGAAAAGAAUUAGUCUUGUGAGAAUUUUACCGUGCUUAGAUGACAAAACGGAGUGGGAAGCUCUUGUAAACAAUUUAUGCAAAGAGUAGACUCUGCCUAGGUUAUCUUUGGUCCUAAAAAAUAUUUGUUGAAAAAUUCCGUAAUACUAAAAAAUAGUUAUCCUCAAAAUUAAUAUCUCAUAUCUUAUAGGGUCAAAUAGAUCUGGUUUCAAAUUCUGGCCCUGCCAUACAGUAGCUAUAACACAGUGGGAAAAUUACUAAACAGUCUCAGAGGCUGCAUUUUUUUGGCUGAGGACUGUAAGAAUGAGUUACAGGUUAAAAAUGCACAGAAAAUACAAUAAAUCAAGUUAAAUUUCCAUAACCAGUAUUCUGUAUUAAAUAUCAUAAGAGCUUUAUUUCCCCUUACACUCCCAUGAGAAUGACAUCCCACAUUAUCUCACAGCGUACCUCACUAUAAGCCCCACAAAGGCAGGUAUUUUUAGGCUUUGUUUGAUACUCUAUAUCCAGCACUGAGAACGGUGUGUAGCAAGUAAUAGGUGCUCAAGAAAUAUUUGAUGAAUAUUUUACUGAGUAAAUCAUUUACUGAAUAAACUGGGCUAAGAAGCUGAAACUAAAGUCUCAGUAAUCAAAAGAAUUGAGUAAUCAAACAUGUGUUUUCAAAAAUAAUUUACUAACCAGCUUUUAUGUGGUAUUUGCUCAUGUAUCACUGGACUUCAUACAACUUAACCGCUAUGAGUUGAAAUAUCUCAACUAAAUGGUGAUAAUGUUUGUUCUAUCUAAUUUACAGGAUCAUCCUGAGGGUAAAAUAAAAACUUGUUUAGAAGACUUUAAGGCCCUUUAUCAAAGAAAAAAAAAGCAAAAAAAAAAAAGAAAGUCAACCAGUCCUUCUCUUCGCCAGACUACAGAAAGGCACCAAGAGAUGGACAGGAACAUAGCUUACUCAGCCAGAUCACGUAAAUAUACAAAGAGCUUAGGAAACUUGAAAGCACCGUCCAUAUGGGUGCUUUAUGUGCCAGAAACUACAUGAUUGCCUUAUUUAAUCUUCAGAACAGCUCUGUGAGGUAAACACAAAUAUCUCCAGUUUAGAGAUCACAAAACUCAACUUUCCAGCGGUUAAGUAAAUUGUUCAGUCACCCAAGUCUGUCGGGUUCUAAAGCCACCAUACACUAUCUUUCUUCUGCAGAUAUAACAAUUCAAAGAGGGAACUUGUAAUUGAAUCAAAAUUCUAUUAAUGCAAAUACAAAUUAAAAAUAACCUCACUCAUCAGUACACAUAGCCAAAAACAUCAUAUUUAAAUAAUACCUUGAUUAGGCUUUGCAUCCUGGGCCUAUUUGCCCCACUCUUUAUACAAAAUAAUUAUAAAACUACUUGAGAAAUUAAAUGGCCUCAGGUUUAAACGCCACAC